rnacentral:antisense_RNA from 1 species
AUGCUGAGGAAUGCAGCUGGGAGGCUGCCAGCAAAUGCCAAGGGGCCUCUGGGUCCCAGGCUAGCACCCCACAGCACCCCACAGGGGCAGGCAGGCCUCCAGAGGCUCUCCUGGAAUCCAAAAAGCCACUUCCUCGCUAAGCCUCCGGUUUCCCGUCUGCAAAGUGGCCAUGAUCAUUCCUGCUGCCCUUCCUGACUGAGCUGUCUGAGGACCCAGGGUUCCAGGGGCAGGUGUCCCAGGAUGGGAUUUUGCUUUCUCCUGAAACCCAUGCGUUCCUAGAAUCUGUUCUGUGUUUCAUUGUAGGAGGCUCUGGCCAGGCCUGGGUGUGGCAGGAUAGAAAUGAAAGUUGUCCUGGCAACACACAAGAUUUCAUCAACAUUUCCAUCCCCAGCAGCUCCUGGGCCAAGCCUCAUCUUGCCCAAUGUGGCCUGUCAAGAUGAGGGCCUGGAAGAGAAGCCAGACUGGGCAGCCAGGCCUCUGCCCCUCCCCUUGCCUGCUGGCACAGCCAGCACUGGCUCACUGGGAAAGUUCACAGUUCCUCACAGCGAUCUGCUAUCUUGAGCGUCAGUUUCUGGCCGAAACUGGGGGCUCCUGACUGAACUCCCUCCCACCUAGAAAACCUUCUGUUUUCUAGGCUUGGGGCAGCAGGGACUGGGACCCCACUCAGACCUCUCUGGGGCAAAUGUUUUGGUUCUCACAACAGCCCUAGUGAAAUCAAUCCUAGAUACUCCCAUUUGGUCCCACCAAGGCCAUUUAAUUUCUCUGUAAAGGGUAAGAUGACACAAAAGAGCCAACUAUGGAAACGGUGAGGUGGGAGUCUGAACCGAUUUAGCUGUUCUCCGGGCGCACAGGGUGUUGACGGUGGUUUUCAUCUGCCACCUGCCUCCUUGAGACCCAGCUGGCCUGAGUGUGCACGAAAUGGGACCUUCUCCUUGGGUCCACCAGGCUGGGAGGCACCCCUAGGUACCCGGCUCCUCAUCACAGCGGCAGCCCUCUCGGUUCCACAUCUGGUUCUCCUGACGAAGCCGCUGGUUUUCGGUCCGGAGCCUCUGGACCUCGGCAGCCAGCUCCUCCACCUGGCGGCAGGACUGCUGGCCGGUGCACGCCUGCAGCUGCUGCAGCCUCCUAGUCUCCUCCUCCGCCUGCGACAGCCGCUUCUCCAGCUCCAGGUAGUCUCGCACCAGCUCCUGCUUGCUGCGGCCCUGCAGGCUCUCGGUGUGGAAGCGUUCGUAAGUCUCAGAGAAGUCCUUCCGCUGGAACUCACCGUGCGCUCGGCCCCGCCCAUCACUGUCCCCGGCCUCACUCUCCCCACUGGAACCUGGGUGGGAGAUCCCAUGGGGCACAUCCAAGUUGGGCUCCUCCGGGUCUCUGUCAUUCAUCAGGAACUGGGUGGUGUUGUAGGGGGCCACGGGCUGGCCUUUGGCGAACAUCUCUUCGCGGACCCGGGAGGCCCUCUGGCUCUGCCUCUCAUCCCGCUGUUGUUUCUCAGCCCAGCUCAGCUCCAGGUAGGGUCGCCAGUGCCUUUUGCGCUUCGAUGGCCGCCGACGGUGUUUCUUCCGGGCCAGCACAGCCUCCGCUGAGCAGCCCCCUGGGCUCUGGGUCCGGGGACUCCUACUGUUCCAGCCCAGGCCACCGACAGCCCCAGCAAGAUCUUCAUCCUCUGAGUGGCUCUCCAUCCGCGGUGUCAGGGGCAGGGAACCACCAGAGUCAUGACGCUCAGGGGGUGUUUGGGGGCUCCCCGGGGCACCAGAGGUCUAAAGAGAGGGAGGAGGAAGAAGGAUGGAUCAGACAGCCUGUCCUUGGAGGUGGAACCUUUCCCUCUCUACCUAGCCUGAAGCCUACCUUCCUACACUCAGCUAACUUGGUCACUCUCAGCCCCUCAACCUUUUGCAACCAUUUGUUUACAAAGAGACCUGUCUACUGUCUGUCCCCCAACCUUCCCCAAGUAAACUCAUGGUGAGAGCAGGAA